rnacentral:tRNA from 1 species
UGCGGUCUCGCUGAGCGCAGAGUUCCCGGCCGAUAUCGCCAGCACAUCCGAUCCGUUAGGGCCGGCG